GAUGAACGCUGGCGGCGUGCCUAAUACAUGCAAGUCGAGCGAACAGACGAGGAGCUUGCUCCUCUGACGUUAGCGGCGGACGGGUGAGUAACACGUGGAUAACCUACCUAUAAGACUGGGAUAACUUCGGGAAACCGGAGCUAAUACCGGAUAAUAUAUUGAACCGCAUGGUUCAAUAGUGAAAGACGGUUUUGCUGUCACUUAUAGAUGGAUCCGCGCCGCAUUAGCUAGUUGGUAAGGUAACGGCUUACCAAGGCAACGAUGCGUAGCCGACCUGAGAGGGUGAUCGGCCACACUGGAACUGAGACACGUUCCAGACUCCUACGGGAGGCAGCAGUAGGGAAUCUUCCGCAAUGGGCGAAAGCCUGACGUAGCAACGCCGCGUGAGUGAUGAAGGUCUUCGGAUCGUAAAACUCUGUUAUUAGGGAAGAACAAAUGUGUAAGUAACUAUGCACGUCUUGACGGUACCUAAUCAGAAAGCCACGGCUAACUACGUG
rnacentral:rRNA from 1 species